rnacentral:rRNA from 1 species
UACAGAGGGUGCGAGCGUUAAUCGGAAUUACUGGGCGUAAAGGGCGCGUAGGCGGUUAGAUAAGUAAGAUGUGAAAGCCCCGGGCUUAACCUGGGAAGAGCAUCUUAGACUGUUUAACUGGAGUACGGGAGAGGGUAGCGGAAUUUCCGGUGUAGCGGUGAAAUGCGUAGAUAUCGAGAGGAAUACCAACGGCGAAGGCAGCACUCUGGGCAGUUUCUGACACUGAGGCACGAAGGCUAGGGGAGCAAACGGG